rnacentral:rRNA from 1 species
UACGAAGGGGGCGAGCGUUGUUCGGAAUUACUGGGCGUAAAGGGCGCGCAGGCGGCGCGAGAAGUCAGGCGUGAAAGCCCCGGGCUCAACCUGGGAAUUGCGCUUGAUACUCUUGUGCUGGAGUUCGGGAGAGGAGAGUGGAAUUCCCAGUGUAGAGGUGAAAUGCGUAGAUAUCAGGAGGAACACCUGUGGCGAAAGCGGCUCACUGGACCAUAACUGACGCUGAUGCACGAAAGCUAGGGGAGCAAACAGG